GCGGAGGCAGAGCCCCAGGACCGCGAGACUAUCCGCACAGCUUCUCCUCAGGCCCCACAGCUAGAACCCCAAAUCGCCUAGUCCCAACCCAUGCACUCUCUAAUCGGCGCCACACGACGGGCCUUCCCCACAACCUCAUCUGCUUGGGGACGUAAAGGGCUCUGUGGGGGAGCUGCAGCUUUCGUGCCCAUCUGUUAAAGGCCAGAACUUCCCAUCUCUGAAAUGCGGGAGGGAACAGAGCUCAAGCUUGAAUAACUGAGCGCGGCCCGGCAGUCCCCCAAGUGAAGAUUCACCAGAGAAUAAGCCUGAUGGAAGUCUGGAGAUAACAGGACUCCCAACCAGCAGAUGUGAAACCUGAAAUUAGUGAUUUGCCAAAGGAAAUGAUGAGCUGUGAUCCCAGGUCUGUCUAACCUAUACUUGUCUCCAAACGUAAUUUGCCCUGGCAGACUCGGGGGUCAAGGACCUGGUGUUGCAAAAUUCCAGUAGUUACCAUGUCCAGAAGAUAUACUGUAAAUUGUGCUUCCAGAAGUUGGGUCAUACAAUGGUACAAAUGGAAACUUUGAUUUAUUAUUUUGUUGCUUCUUGUUAACUAAUUUUAGAAGACUGAGAGUGGGGGUGUCCAUGCUUUAGAUCCUUCAAAGAAGGGAUUAAUGAAAAUUUGUUGUUGCUUUUUGGUAAAAACUACUCAUUGAGCUAACAGCUAAAAAACUGAAUUUCAAUAUUACCAUAAAUUUGAAGACAAAAUGUUUCCUUGUGGAGGAGGAGUUUGGGCAAAGUAUAAAUAAGUAAUUAAAAUUGUGCUCAACUAAAGAGUUUAUUGUGGAGGGAAAAGUGAUCUCGUGUUCAUAAGUGGAAAUUAAAUGUUUUUAUAGAGUGGUGCAGUUAUUGCGACAGUGCAAAUUAUAUUAAUAGCUAAUAGAGAAUUCAAAUAAAAUGUUUCUAA
rnacentral:lncRNA from 10 species